CAGCCGCCGCGGUAAUACGUAGGGUGCGAGCGUUAAUCGGAAUUACUGGGCGUAAAGAGCUCGUAGGCGGUUUGUCGCGUCUGCCGUGAAAGUCCGGGGCUCAACCCCGGAUCUGCGGUGGGUACGGGCAGACUAGAGUGAUGUAGGGGAGACUGGAAUUCCUGGUGUAGCGGUGAAAUGCGCAGAUAUCAGGAGGAACACCGAUGGCGAAGGCAGGUCUCUGGGCAUUAACUGACGCUGAGGAGCGAAAGCAUGGGGAGCGAACAGGAUUAGAUACCCGCGUAGUCCCUGUCUCUUAUAA
rnacentral:rRNA from 1 species